AAACUUUCAACAACGGAUCUCUUGGCUCUCGCAUCGAUGAAGACGCAGCGAAAUGCGAUAAGUAAUGUGAAUUGCAGAAUUCAGUGAAUCAUCGAAUCUUUGUACGCACCUUGCGCUCCUUGGUAUUCCGAGGAGCAUGCCUGUUUGAGUGUCAU
rnacentral:rRNA from 1 species